GGAUUAGGUUGGGGAUUAGGGUUUUUCUGCUUGACGAUCAUGGCGGUUGUGACUUUCUAUUCGUAUUUCCUCAUGUCGAAGGUUCUGGAUCACUGCGAGAAAGCCGGCCGCCGCCACAUACGAUUUCGGGAACUCGCCGCCGACGUGUUAGGGUCUGGAUGGAUGUUUUACUUUGUAAUAUUUAUUCAAACGGCGAUAAAUACUGGAGUCGGAAUUGGAGCAAUCUUACUUGCGGGGCAAUGCCUUGAGAUAAUAUAUUCGAGCCUUAAUCCAAAUGGAUCGAUGAAACUGUACGAGUUCAUAGCAAUCGUAACAGGAGUGAUGAUAAUUUUGUCUCAACUUCCAACUUUCCAUUCCCUACGACAUGUGAAUUUGGGCUC
rnacentral:misc_RNA from 1 species